GCCUAGGACUACGAAUAAAAUGUACCAUACUCUUAAGGUAUUGCGAGAAAAUCAUUCUAAGUGGAGGAUAACUACAAAUAAUCCAUGGAAAAUGAAUAACUCUAUAGACAACGUGAAGAAAACUAAAACAGACACUGAGAAAAAUACGCCUUUAAAAUCAGAUUCAGUAAACAGUGUUUCUCUGAUGGUUCUUUCGACUGCAGGUGAAAAUUCCGAGGAAAACAAGAAAGGGGUUUUCGUAACAAACGGAACAAAUAAAGGAACGAGCAUUGCAAAAGCUAAAACUGCAUGGACACAAACAACAACGCCCCCGUCACAGGUAAGUUGGUGAAUCGUGAGUCGUGGGAGAACAUUGUGAAGGUGGCUCCGGCGCUGGCCAGCUGGCUAAGCUCCACACAACUUCCAGAUAGGCAUCAUGGAGCUCACUUGCCGAAAAAUUAUGGCAAAAGGUAAGUUUAAAUAUUAUUUUAUCGCUAAAUCUCCACGUAGA